CCUACGGGAGGCAGCAGUAGGGAAUAUUGCUCAAUGGGGGAAACCCUGAAGCAGCAACGCCGCGUGGGGGAUGAAGGUUUUAGGAUUGUAAACUCCUUUUGUGAGAGAAGAUAAUGACGGUAUCUCACGAAUAAGCACCGGCUAACUCCGUGCCAGCAGCCGCGGUAAUACGGAGGGUGCAAGCGUUACCCGGAAUCACUGGGUGUAAAGAGUGCGCAGACGGGCUUGUAAGUCAGUUGUGAAAUCCUAUAGCUUAACUACAGAACUGCAUUUGAAACUAUGAGUCUAGAGUGUGGGAGAGGUAGGUGGAAUUCUUGGUGUAGGGGUAAAAUGCGUAGAUAUCAAGAGGAAUACUCAUUGCGAAGGCGACCUACUGGAACAUUACUGACGCUCAUGCACGAAAGCGUGGGGAGCAAACAGGAUUAGAUACCCCUGUAGUC
rnacentral:rRNA from 1 species